UCGUCAUACAGUCACUUAGAACCCGUCUCUGUUGGGAGUAUAUAAACACUAAUUGCAGACGAAGAGAUUAUUCAGUUCUGUGAUAACUGUGCAAUUCAACAUAACAACAUCCAACAUGAAAGUUAUCUUCGUUGUUGCUGCGCUUGUCGCCGUUGCUUUGGCUGCCCCACAAGGCGCCGAUAAAGAUGCCACCAUUGUAAGGAACGAUUUGGAAAAUAUUGGA